GACGAACGCUGGCGGCGUGCUUAACACAUGCAAGUCGAGCGGUAAGGCCCUUUCGGGGGUACGACGAGCGGCGAACGGGUGGAGUAACACGUGGGUGGACCUGCCCUCCAGCUCUGGGAUAAGCCUGGGAAACCGGGUCGUAAUACCGGAUAUGACUCCAUGACGCAUGUUGUGGGGUGGAAAGCCUUGUGCGGCUGAGGAUGGGCCCGCGGCCUAUCAGCUUGUUGGUGGGGUGAUGGCCUACCAAGGCGACGACGGGUAGCCGGCCUGAGAGGGCGACCGGCCACACUGGGGACUGAGACACGGCCCAGACUCCUACGGGAGGCAGCAGGUGGGGAAUCUUGCGCAAU
rnacentral:rRNA from 1 species